CAAUUUCCUUCUCUCACUAUCUCCUCUGUAGUUUCUACCACCUUGAAGAUAGAAACAGAAAAAUUGAAUAAACUGGAAAAUGUCAAAGAAGAACUUCAGAGAAACAUUUCCCUCCAACUGAUAGCUAACAUGAGGCACAAAUGUAAACCUUGCCCAAACAAUUGGAUGUGGUACACAAACAACUGUUAUUUCUUAUCUGA
rnacentral:lncRNA from 1 species